UCCAGAUAUGAAGUCAUUGGUCCUCUGGCAACAAACAGUCUUACUGCAGCGUAGGGAAGACACCGUCUUCUUCAAGUUUCCACGUUGACCUCCAAAGGAAAUGGCCGCAUAGCAGCACGGCAUCUCCUCCCCAAUCGAUUCAUCUUCCACAGCAAGGGCAUGCUCCAAAAUUGUAUUGUUGUCGUGAAGAGGAUAAUUGUGAGUGAACACACAGUGGAUGACAGGUUUUUUGAUUGCGAGGUUAAAAACUUGAUGAAAGUUAGCCAUCUGAAUGUAGUCCGCUUUCUUGGCUUCUGUUCAAAUACACACCGCGAAGCAAUACAAUUUCCAGGAUCAGCAGAUUUCGUUUUCGUCCAGAAAAGAGAAAGGUUACUAUGUUUCGAGUAUAUCAACAAUGGAAGCCUUGAUAAACAUAUUACCGAUGAAUUGAGAGGGCUUGAAUGGAGUGUACGGUAUGAAAUAAUCAAGGGGAUUUUACAUGGUUUGCGUUACCUUCAUAUGGAGAUUAACAUUAUCCAUAUGGACCUCAAACCUAGUAAUAUAAUGCUAGACAAUGAUAUGGUGCCAAAGAUAACUGAUUUUGGUCUAUCAAGACUUGCUAAGAUCACACAUACCAGUGGUACCCGUUUUAUAACACAUGGAUACUGUGCUCCAGAAUACGAGAACUGUGGGAAGAUGUCAAAAAAGGUUGACAUGUAUAGCUUGGGAGUUAUAAUCAUUGAACUCGUAACAGGACGUAAGGGUGAUCCAAAUAAGACUAAUAUCAGCCUUUGCAUGGAUGAUGACAUGCUUGGAAUCAACCCGCUCGAACUAAGGUUUCCCUUCGAGCUUCAAAAGCAGAUGUCAUCCAUGGUAAUGCUAAUCAACAAGACAAAGAAUUACUAUGCUUUCAAUAUCGAAACGCCAGGCAAGCAGUACCGUACAGAACCAAACAAAGGCAUUCUGUCACCACAAUCCGAGGAUACUAUCCAGAUAACACUGGAAAUACAAGAGACUACACCGCACGAUCUGCCGUACUCCGACAAUUUUAUAGUGCAAAGCACAAAAGUCAAUGGGGAUUUUAGGGCCGAGGAUAUCACCAAAUACAUGUUCCAAAAAGAGCCAGUUGAAGUGGAUGAGGUAAAUUUGACGGUUGUAGUAUAUGAGAAUGAGGGACCUAAGGAAGAUCUCAAGAUUCGUGAAGAUACCAAGAAGAAACAAAAAUCGAUGAUUGAAUCUGCUUUGAGCACGGACAAACCUGGCGUUAACACAACUCACGAAGCAGAGGCCAUUCACAUGGAGAUAAAUUCUAUCAGCUACAAAUAUGCACGAGGACAAUGUAUCAAGCAACCAGAGCGUCUUAGUUUCCUCACAACUCCUAGACUUUUGUGUAAUCAGCAGACCAACAUGAGCGACAGAGCCGUGGAUCUUGUAACUGGGGCCAUGGGCAGCCUACACCAUAAGCUUGACGAUCUCCUCAAGGAAGAGUACAAUCUAGAGAAAAGCAUGAAGGGAGAAAUAGAUUUUCUAUCAGAAGAGCUGAGGGAUAUGCAGCUAGCCAUCCGGAAGGUGUCGGGGGUACAUCGGCACAACCUUGACGAUGAUGUCAUGCACUGGGUUGACACUGUCAGGGAGAUGUCAUAUGACAUUGAGGAUGUUGUUGAUGGUUUCCUGGUACACGAUGAGCCUCCAUCUAACACAAGCUUCUUCAGGGGGCUCAUUGAGAACAUGUUCAACCACUUCAAGUGGGGCAAGACUCACAAUCCAAUUGAAGAUGCUGUCAAAGAUAUCAAGAAACAAGUUGAGGUUGUGGCUGAAAGACGUAAAAGGUGGAAGGUUGAUGAAACAAUGGCUAAUGUAGCUUCCAAAAUUACCAUCGACCCUCGCAUUUCGGCUAUAUACAAAGAUCAGAAAGAACUUGUUGGCAUCAAAGAGCCAAGUAAUGUGCUAAUUCAGUGGCUUUCUGAUAAGGAUGGGGCUAUGGACGUGUCAAAACAGCAACUCAAGAUAGUCUCUAUCGUUGGAUUUGCAGGAUUGGGCAAGACAACACUUGCCAAGGCGGUGUAUAACCAGCUUCAAUCCCAGUUUGGUCCUAAGGCUUUUGUUCCAGUGGGUCGUAAUCCUAAUUUGAAAAAUGUUUUUGAGGCAAUUCUCCAUGGACUUAGCAAAGAAUCGAAUGCAGAAAACUUAAACGAAAUGCAGCUCAUCAACAAAAUCCGAGGAUUGCUCAAGAACAUGAGGUACUUCAUAGUAAUCGAUGAUAUAUGGGAUUCCCCAGCAUGGAAUCUUAUUAAAUGUGCUCUUCCAAAUGACGAUUGUGGCAGUUGUGUGGUGACAACUACAAGGAUUCGCUCUGUUGCGGAUGACUGUUACAAACACAGCAGAGGAUAUGUUCAUGAGAUGAAACCACUAAAUGGCCAAGACUCGAAAAACCUAUUUGUUUGUAGAAUGUUUGGUUCCCCUAAAGUACCAGAAGAUAUUUCAAAUGAUAUUCUGAAAAAAUCUGGUGGCUUGCCCCUUGCUAUUAUUAGUAUAGCAAGUCUUCUCGCACAUAACCAAAGGCCAGGAUGGGAUUCUAUAAGGAAUUCUUUGGUGUCUGUGUUUGAAGAAAAUCAUGAUGAUCUUAAAGAUAUGAAGCAAAUAUUGGAUCUUAGCUACAUGCAUCUCCCUCAUCAUCUUAAGACAUGCCUUCUUGAUAUUGGGAAGUACCAAGAGGACCAGGAGAUAGAGAAGGAGGAUAUGUUGAGGCAAUGGACAGCUCAAGGUUUUGUGAGUGCAACUCGUGUGCGUGAUGCAGAGGAUGUCGCAGAAGACUACUUCUAUGAACUCAUCAACAUGAGCAUGAUCCAACCUGGCAAGAUGGACUUCGAUGAGGUGUUGUCUUGCAGAGUGCAUGAUAUAAUGCUUGACCUUAUCAGAUCCAAGGCCACGGAAGAGAAUUUCAAUCUUUUAAUAGAUGGGCCAAAAGUUGUUAGAGGGGAACACAAAAGGGUCCGUCGAGUGGCCAUUUACUAUGAUGGCGAAGAAGAUGGCGGAAUACUGGCAGCAAUCAAUGAUGGAUCACUAUCGCAUGUUCGAUCAGUCUUACUUUUCAGAGGGUGUCUUGUGCCUUCUUUUCUGGUGCUGAAGUAUAUCCGAGUUCUUCAGCUUGAAGGUGAAAGAGGCCAGAGUCUAGACCUCACUGGUAUCCGUGCAUUAUUUCUACUAAGGUAUCUAAAGAUUUAUUGCAAGAAAGGUUUGACGCUACCUAGACAAAUUGGCGAGCUACAACAAUUGGAGACAUUACAAGUUGAAGGGUUAAAUGAACUGGCAUUUCUCCCAUCAGAUAUUUUUACUUGGCCGCGGUUGUCACAUAUUAGUUAUUUAGAUGGUGUCGUGUUGCCUGACGGGAUUAGUGGCUUGAAAUCUCUGCGCACUCUGCGAGGUAUUGCUUUUUUGGAAAGCUCAGUGGACAAUAUCAAGGGCCUUGGCGAGCUGACCAAAUUGAGGGAACUUGAGAUGUUUUCGGAACUUCGGAUCUGUAAUGAAUCGGAUAAAUUCGAGUGGGACAUGCAUAUUGAUGCCUUGCGCUCUUCCAUUGUAAAGCUUUCGGGUAGUCUCAGGAGUCUUACUAUCGGAGAAGGAUGCCUCACCUUGCUACCGGUCCAUGGGUGGAGCAGCACACUAACCCCACCUCGCCAUCUUCAGAAACUCAAUCUGUCUAGCUGCGAUUUCCGAAGAAUCCCCGAGUGGAUCUCUCAGCUCCGUGAGCUCUACAGUUUAACACUUUUCGUCAGGGAGCUGGCUGAUAGUGUCAGUAUCGUUGCAGGGUUGCCUUCCCUUGCAUACUUAGAACUGGAGGUUGGCCCUAUCAAUUUGCAGUCCUCCAAGGAGAAGGUAAUCAUCUCAGGUAGGGAAUUUGGAGCGCUCAAGCACCUGAUUUUGCGAUGUCCCAAUCUGUCGCUGGAAUUCAAGGAAGGUGCUCUGCCCAGGCUGGAGAAGCUCCACAUAUGCUUCCGUUACUUCAUGUCUGCUGAAUUCCUACCGGUUGGCAUUAAGCACUUGCCAGUUGGCACUCUUCCGGAAAUCCGUUUAACGAUGGUGUCCACGGAAGAUACGGGGAAAGUGGCUUGCCAUAUCGAACAACUCAAGGCAGUUAUUCGGCUACGGUUGAAGAGAGCAUUUGAGCUGCAUCAUGCUACUGCCGACAU
rnacentral:rRNA from 1 species